CUGGCUUCCUGGUUCCUCCCUGCCUCCCGCACCCAUAAGAGUCAGUUCUCUCUCAGUCACACAUCCACGACAGCCUCACUCUGGCUCUGUUCCCCAGGUCGCUGUUGGCUGCUGUUAACACCACCACCACUCAGAACUGGUUGACGAGGAUCUGCUCCACCAAGUUGACUCCCUCACUCACCAGCCAAACAACGCCAGCCAAACAACACCAGCCACACAACACCAGCCAAACAACACCAGCCACACAACACCAGCCGCUGCUCCACCAUGAAAUACACGCUGCUGAUAAUGCUGCUGAUGCUGUGUCUGCAGCUGACACUGGCUGCUCCACAACAUUUCUUGACACAUCCAGGACCUCAUCCAUUCGGACACAGAAGAAAUCACUUACGCUACUUCCUGCGACAUCACCGUCUACAUGGCAGCUAUCAACAACCUUAUCAAUAUGCUUAUGGAUUCGCCAACCCAUAUUACUGUUAAUGUCAACGUGUAUAGACCAGGUCACGGUAAUGUGGCUGCCACAUGUCACAAGAGAAGUGCGUUUCGGUCUGUCCUUGGCCAUUAUUAAGUCACAAUUGAUGGAGAAAAUUGAGUAAACCACAGCAAGUCAGGUCAGGUGAAGACAUGACCUAUCUUCUGACCUUAUCUCUUCAUAUGACCUGUCUUCUGACCUCAAGUCUUCACCUGACCUGUCUUCUGACUUCCUCCACAUUAAGUAUACUCUUCAGUCGUUACUUGAUAAUGUAUCAUGACGGAGUGAAACAUUAUAAGGUGAGUACUGGUUUAUUAUUGUGAAUCAAGGUGUGUACUGGUUUAUUAUUGUGAAUCAAGGUGUGUACUGGUUUAUUAUUGUGAAUCAAGGUGUGUACUGGUUUAUUAUUGUGAAUCAAGGAGUGUACUGGUUUAUUAUUGUGAAUCAAGGAGUGUACUGG